GAGUGGAAAGAAGGCACUCGUUGUAAGUGAUCAUGAGAGCCAACCAGAUCUGGUGACUGAUUGGGCAUGGUCAUUGGUGAAGAAAGGGAGAGCUUUAGAUGUUAUUGAAGAUGGUAUGCCGGAGUUAGGCCCACAAGAAGUUUUGGAGAAGUAUGUAUUUAUUGCAGUUCUUUGUUCUCAUCCACAGUUACAUGCCAGGCCAACAAUGGAUCAGGCAGUAAAAAUGUUGGAAACAGACCAGUCAAUUCCCACUAUCCCAGAAAGGCCAAUUCCUCUGGCAGCCGAGAUGGACGAUAUUGAGAGAGUAAGCAGUUGCGGUUCAGGUAAGCUCUCUAGUCCGGCUGGCUACAAAACAUACAUAUUAGAGAAUGAUCGCCCUUCUAGCUAAAACGAGACAAGGUCUAGUUCGGACUCUGGACCAGUGGAAUUGCUGUAAAUUAUGUUGUUUGGCCGGAGGGAAUUAUUUAAGCCUUCCAGUGAUACUUCCAAAUUUUGAAACCUUAGGAUCAGGUG
rnacentral:misc_RNA from 1 species